GGGAGUAUAGCUCAAAUGGUAGAGUGUGUGCUUAGCAUACAUGAGGUCCUGGGUUCAAUCCCCAGUACCUCCA
rnacentral:tRNA from 1 species